CGCUGCGCCAACCGCAAGGGGGCAGGCGACCACGGUAGGGUCAGCGACUGGGGUGAAGUCGUAACAAGGUAGCCGUAGGGGAACCUGCGGCUGGAUCACCUCCUUUCUAAGG
rnacentral:rRNA from 1 species